UUGUUCUUUUUAUGGUAGAUGCUUUCAUUUAUUUCUAGCAUUUGUACCCUUAUAUAUAGGGCUUAAAAACUUAGUGAUCUUUCAAGGAGCCUACAUUACUCUGUCAUGAAAAAUCAAAACAUGCAAUUAACAAUUUCAUAGUAGGUAGUUUAUUAAAAAUUAACCAGUAGGUUAGAUGUGUUAAAUGCACUUCCCUGUACUUCAUCCUUCAAGAGCUAUUUACCCUUAACUUGUAAAAACAUAAAGUCACAAGGCUUGCUCAAAUGUUCUGCUUCUUACAGUGACUCACAUAAAUGAUAUAAUUAUACAGC
rnacentral:lncRNA from 1 species